CAGUUGUGAGGAAGGUGGUGUCGUUAAUAGCGGCAUCAUUUGACGUUAGCAACAGAAGAAGCACCGGCUAACUCCGUGCCAGCAGCGCGGUAAUACGGAGGGUGCGAGCGUUAAUCGGAAUUACUGGGCGUAAAGCGCAUGCAGGUGGUUUGUUAAGUCAGAUGUGAAAGACCCGGGGCGUCAACCUCGGAACUGCAUUUGAAACUAGGCAGACUAGAGUACUGUAGAGGGGGGUAGGAAUUUCAGGUAUAGCGGUGAAAUGCGUAGAGAUCUGAAGGAAUACCGGUGGCGAAGGCGGCCCCUCGGACAGAUACUGACACUCAGAUGCGAAAGCGUGGGGAGCAAACAGGAUUAGAUACCCUUUAG
rnacentral:rRNA from 1 species